AUUCGCCCUUAGAGUUUGUUUCUGGCUCAGGACGAACGCUGGCGGCGUGCUUAACGCAUGCAAGUCGAACGAAGAGCGAUGGAAGCUUGCUUCUGUCAAUCUUAGUGGCGAACGGGUGAGUAACGCGUAAUCAACCUGCCCUUCAGAGGGGGACAACAGUUGGAAACGACUGCUAAUACCGCAUACGAUCUAAUCUCGGCAUCGAGGAUGGAUGAAAGGUGGCCUCUAUUUAUAAGCUAUCACUGAAGGAGGGGAUUGCGUCUGAUUAGCUAGUUGGAGGGGUAACGGCCCACCAAGGCGAUGAUCAGUAGCCGGUCAGAGAGGAUGAACGGCCACAUUGGGACUGAGACACGGCCCAGACUCCUACGGGAGGCAGCAGUGGGGAAUCUUCCGCAAUGGACGAAAGUCUGACGGAGCAACGCCGCGUGAGUGAUGACGGCCUUCGGGUUGUAAAGCUCUGUUAAUCGGGACGAAAGGCCUUCUUGCGAAUAGUUAGAAGGAUUGACGGUACCGGAAUAGAAAGCCACGGCUAACUACGUGCCAGCAGCCGCGGUAAUACGUAGGUGGCAAGCGUUGUCCGGAAUUAUUGGGCGUAAAGCGCGCGCAGGCGGAUUGGUCAGUCUGUCUCAAAAGUUCGGGGCUUAACCCCGUGAUGGGAUGGAAACUGCCAAUCUAGAGUAUCGGAGAGGAAAGUGGAAUUCCUAGUGUAGCGGUGAAAUGCGUAGAUAUUAGGAAGAACACCAGUGGCGAAGGCGACUUUCUGGACGAAAACUGACGCUGAGGCGCGAAAGCCAGGGGAGCGAACAGGAUUAGAUACUCCGGUAGUCCUGGCCGUAAACGAUGGG
rnacentral:rRNA from 1 species